AGAUACUGGCCCGACUCCUACGGGAGGCAGCAGUAGGGAAUAUUGGGGCAAUGGAUGCAAGUCUGACCCAGCCAUGCCGCGUGCCGGAUGAAGGCCCUCAGGGUUGCAAACGGCUUUUAUUUUGGGAAGAAGAGCAGGGAUGCGUCCUUGUGUGACGGUACCGAAUGAAUAAGCACCGGCUAACUCCGUGCCAGCAGCCGCGGUAAUACGGAGGGUGCGAGCGUUGUCCGGAUUUAUUGGGUUUAAAGGGUGCGUAGGUGGCCUGUUUAGUCAGUGGUGAAAUACAGCCGCUCAACGGUUGAGGUGCCAUUGAUACUGACGGGCUUGAAAUAAUUGGAGGCUGCCGGAAUGGAUGGUGUAGCGGUGAAAUGCAUAGAUAUCAUCCAGAACACCGAUUGCGAAGGCAGGUGGCUACGAUUGGUUUGACACUGAGGCACGAAAGCAUGGGGAGCAAACAGGAUUAGAUACCCUGGUAGUCCAUGCUGUAAAC
rnacentral:rRNA from 1 species